AAAAUGCAGGAUCCAGUAUGCAGACUGCACAGCAAGUGUGCAGACAAAUCCCUGUGUCUGCUGUUCAGGAAAAUGCAAGAACAGAAGUUGCACCCACCAUACAAAUACAAUUCCAAAAUGCAAAGCAAACAAUAGAAGUUCAAAAACAGAAAAUCCUUCACCUGUAGGAUACGGUUAACUCUCUGACAGAGGAGAGAAAUUAUCUUCGUGCAAGACUUGAAGAUGCUUUAAUUCAGAAGGGUCCCUCAGAAGGGGUACCUACACAGACUGCAACUACAAGAAAGAGCAGUACUUCUGAAUCUUCAAAUUUUUCAACUUCCGAGUCCUCUGAUUCUGAGCCCCCAAAACACAAAAAAAGAAAGG